GAUGAACGCUGGCGGCGUGCCUAAUACAUGCAAGUCGAGCGAACACACGAGCAGCUUGCUCCCCGGACGUUGGCGACGGACGGGUGAUUAACACGUGCAUACCCUAUCUUUAAGACUGGGAUAGCUACGGCAAGCUUAAUCUCACACCCGACCUGAUAUUGAACCCCAUGGUCCAAUAGUCCACGAGCGAUUUGCUCUGCCUUAUACGUGUUUGCGCGUCGCAUUAGCUAGUUGGUAGGGUAACGGCUUACCAAGGCGACGAUGCGUAGCCGACCUGAGAGGGCGACCAGCCACACUGGGACUGAGACACGGCCCAGACUCCUACGGGAGGCAGCAGUGGGGAAUUUUGGACAAUGGGGGCAAGCCUGACGGAGCCAUGCCGCGUGAGUGAAGAAGGCCUUCGGGUCGUAAAACGCUUUUGUUCGGGAAGAACUAAUGUGGGCGAAAAUCCCGGCGGGAUGACGGUACCGAAAGAAUAAGCAACGGCUAACUACGUG
rnacentral:rRNA from 1 species